GUCAAACGCAUUCCCUCGUGUUGGUGGAUGGAGACUCCAGUCCCCAGAUUAUAUGCUGAAGGAACAACGUCUCAAGCUGCCCGAACUUGUGAUUUGACCAACUGGGAGCAGUAAAAACAGGCAGAAUCAGACUCGACGUUCAAGAUUCAACAUUCGACCCAAAACAGUUGAAAAUCAAACCGGACUUUUAACGGAACGAAGGGAUUUCUGUCGACCUUCAUUGUCCGUCCUCAGCCAAACCUUCUGCACUGCACCCAUCAACACAUUAACCCCCUCCGCGUCACCACGCGUAUCAUUCUCAUCAAUGCUCCUCAGAUCACACGGUUUGAUGGAGUGAUCUACACGCGAAACCGUUGGUCCUGGUUUGAACCCGGGACCUUCUCGCUGCGAGGCGUCAGCGCUGCCCACCACACCCCCACGCUGCCUCUGAUGCCUCCUGAUUGCUUUCUGGCGACUCGUCUCAGGUCUUAAUCUCAAUGACACCGGCUGAUUAAAUAAAGAUUUAAUGAAAAACAACAAAAAAGAUUGCACAGCUACACACCCUGCAGACACGGUGCCGUUUUAAAUCCCCGGAUGAAAGAGGAGAGUGAUGAAAACAAUGCGUACCCACUACAUCCAUCGUGAAGUAACAUUAAAACGCAGCUUCUGGAUACAUCGCCUGAACAGAAGCACAGACACAGACUUCAUCCUGCAGCAGGGAGACGUAGAGAGGAGACGUCUAGCAGAGACAUCCGGCGCCGGGGAACAUUCCCUGAGACGUGCAGGCCCAUUCUCUGUUUAAACCUUUUUCUUUUAUUGUCACGCACUCAAAUUCUCAAAGGGUUUUUGCACCUGAUGUUCGCGACGUGCACGGAGCCGAUCGCAACGGGGCAAAUGGUUUUCAAAGCAGCCAAAUAUAAAUUCUAUUAUUGCCAAGAAUUUACACACAAAUACGUCCAAAGAUCCUUCCUUUCGUCCUUGAAUCUGCUCUCUGCCGCGGGACGAGAACGAAGACUUCACUUGGCUGUUGAACACAGUGAAGCUGUAACCUUGACGGGCUGAUACCGAACGGUGUCUGUGUGUGUGUGUGUGUGUGUGUGUGUGUGUGUGUGUGUGUGUGUGCAGACAGCACUUUAAUGCAGAGCAGAUGUCAAAACAACAGCUUGCACCAACAGUUUAAAAUAAAAAUGAGCACUUUAAAAUGCCACGAUCCCACCAGGUGCUCCACUGGUCUGCAUGCACGGACCCAAAGUUGUGCAGGUGACGCAUUUAAAACCCAAACUCCAAAACGGGGGAAAUGUCAA
ensembl:lncRNA